rnacentral:sRNA from 1 species
ACAAAACUUUAUACAACAAAUAGUUAAAGCCCAUUUCAGCAUUUUGUCCUUAGUAAUCCUUAUACUCGAAUGCAUCCUCAAUACGAUGAUGGCCUGGAGAAGAUCAUUCAGAAAUUAGAUGCAUAUUUAGAGAAAGGAAUUCCGCAAUUGUUGAAUGUUUAGUGAGACUGCGCGGCGAGCUGAUCUCAAGUUAGGAAAUUCCACCAAAAACACCGCGCAUUUAAAUCUUCAAUAGGACACUUCACCAUUGAUUUUAUACAGAAUUAUCAUAAUAUCUUGUAUUUGCAUGUAAUGUAGAUCUAGAAUAAACAGUCGAUUCAUAUAGCUAAUAAAACGAUAAAAAAAACCUAAGAGACCAGAGUUUUAUUUAGUAGUAGCUAGCUAAUUCUAAUCAAUCGCUGCCCAACUUCGAAUGUUGAAUCCUUUCAUUUCAUCAGGGUUGCUUUAUCUAUGCACCAACUCGCUCUUAAGAUGAUUUAGUGCCAGAAAGUUCGAAGAUCAUAGCUUCGAAGUCGCUGAACAACGACACCGCUUUUGUGUCAGUGAGCACAGAGAGCUGGGUCGCGGUAAGGCCGCACGUUCCACGUUCGCGAUCGACCCACCAAAAAGAAUUAUCAAUUCCAUGCCAAUUUAAUGCCCCCUUCAAGCGUCUGUUUGGUAUAUCCUCCAUCGCCAAGACGCCAGCAAGCGAAUGAUUCCAAGUUACAUUUCCUGGUACCCCGUUUGUCAUACACAGCUCGGUCCCUGACAUCUGCAUGAAUUGAAUGAAAUGACUAUUGUCACUGAGUUGGGGCUCAAGCAUCUUCGAAACUGUCUCCGGUGCUAGGAGUUUGCCAUCGUUUUUCAGAAUAGAAAUCAGAAAUUUGAUAUAAUCCGUUGGUGUGGACCAGAGUCCAUGUCCUCCAUAGUCAUCAAAAGGUUUGAGAGGUUGCAUGAAUUCUACGACUGGUACCGGGGUCGGGAUAAGUUCACCGGUCGGAGCUCGCGUAGUUGACUCAGGUUUAUUGUCCAGAAUAUAUUUGUUCUGGGAGGGUCGCAAGGUGGUGUGCUUCAUUCCAAGAGGCUCAAAGAUAUUCGCCUUGAAGUACUCUUCCAAUUUCAUCCCUCCAUUCACGCGUUCGACAGCUUUUCCCGCCCAAUCGAGGCUUGCGCCAUAAACCCAGCCCUCUCCAGGUUCAAACAGCAACGGGUACGUGAGUUUUUCAACUGGCUGAAGUCCUGUUACUGGUGUAGUUUUAGUGACCUCUCUCCAUUUUACUAACAUUGGAUGCCACUUGUCAUAAGCAAGCCCGGAUGUAUGGCUUAGAAGAUGACGAAGAGUUAUCUUCUUCUCGGCCUUCUUGAUAAGAGGUUCUCCUGUCUCUUUAUCGAAGCCGUACAAAAUGCCUAGAUCCGACAGCUCAGGGAGGAUACGCUCGACGUUUUCGUCUAAAUCGAUGAGCCCUUUCUCAACGCAUUGCAGAACGGCGACUGAAGUGAUGAACUUCGUGAAUGAUGCAAGCCAUAGUGGAGUAUCGACAGAGAACGGCCCUGCACCGGUAAAGCCAAAGCUUUUGGAAUACAAAAUGUCCCCUUUUUAUAGUGAUCAGUACUUGGUUUUCCAUAGUAAGUAAUAAAUUUGAAGGUGGGCGGGGGAGGGAAAGCUCACCGUUUCUAUUCGCGGCGAUCAUAGCAGUCCCAGGCAUAACACGAUCCGGGCCAUCUGCAGUCAAAGACGAAGCAUUUUUCUCGAAAGCUUCCAUGUUUAUGCUCCUCUUUUGGGCCCUUCCCUGUUCGGAAAUGUUUUCUGGGAGACUUCAAAGGGCUUCAAAUCUCAAGCCGAGAAGUUUAGAUCAAAUCAAAAAUAUACAGACUAAACUUAUAUAUAAAAGAGGAUAUUUGGCAAGCCUCGCAUCUGAACUUCAAUGAACAGUGUCGAGCUUAUAUAUACUAUAUAUACCAGAUGCAGAGAGCGCACACAUCUUUCACAAGCCUG